GGAAGACCAGAAAAGAAAUGGAAAACUUUG
rnacentral:rRNA from 1 species